rnacentral:rRNA from 1 species
GACGAACGCUGGCGGCGUGCUUAACACAUGCAAGUCGAACGGUAAGGCCCUUCGGGGUACACGAGUGGCGAACGGGUGAGUAACACGUGGGUGAUCUGCCCUGCACUUCGGGAUAAGCCUGGGAAACUGGGUCUAAUACCGGAUAGGACCCUGGGAUGCAUGUCCUGGGGUGGAAAGCUUUUGCGGUGUGGGAUGGGCCCGCGGCCUAUCAGCUUGUUGGUGGGGUGAUGGCCUACCAAGGCGACGCCGGGUAGCCGGCCUGAGAGGGGGACCGGGCACACUGGGACUGGGAUACGGCCCAGACUCCUACGGGAGGCAGCAGUGGGGAAUAUUGCACAAUGGGCGCAAUCCUGAUGCAGCUACGCCGCGUGAGGGAUGACGGCCUUCGGGUUGUAAACCUCUUUCAGCACCGACGAAGCGCAAGUGACGGUAGGUGCAGAAGAAGGACCGGCCAACUACGUGCCAGCCGCCGCCGUAA